AUCUAUUACUGUCAAUCUAUCUAUUACUGUCAAUCUAUCUAUCACUGUCAAUCUAUCUAUCACUGCUAAUCUACCACUGUCAAUCUAUCUAUCACUGCUAAUCUAUCACUGUCAAUCUAUCUACCACUGUUAAUCUAUCUACUGCUGCCAAUCUAUCUAUCACUGCCAAUCUAUAUAGAGUAAAUCAUGGUUUCAUUUGGUUUCAUUUUGUAAAAUGAGAUCAAAUGAAAUCAGAAUUACUAAUUUAUUAGUAAAAUAUAAUCUGAGACUAGAUUUAUAAUAUAAACAGUGUAAAGUAACUAAUUUGCUAAAUACUA
rnacentral:sRNA from 1 species